UACAGAGGGUGCGAGCGUUAAUCGGAGUUACUGGGCGUAAAGGGUGCGUAGGCGGUAAGAUGUGUGGAAUGUGAAAGCCCCGGGCUUAACCUGGGAAGCGCAUACCAAACUAUCUAACUGGAGUAAGUGAGAGGGUGGCGGAAUUUCCGGUGUAGCGGUGAAAUGCGUAGAGAUCGGAAGGAACGCCAAUGGCGAAGGCAGCCACCUGGCACAAUACUGACGCUGAGGCACGAAAGCGUGGGGAGCGAACAGG
rnacentral:rRNA from 1 species